rnacentral:rRNA from 1 species
GAUGAACGCUGACAGAAUGCUUAACACAUGCAAGUCGAACGAUGAAGCCGGGGCUUUUUGUUUUGGUGGAUUAGUGGCGAACGGGUGAGUAAUACGUGAGCAACCUGCCCUUGUCUUUGGGGUAAGCCUGGGAAACUGGGUCUAAUACCGGAUAUUCUGCUUUUGCCGCAUGGUGGGGGUUGGAAAGAUUUUUUGGAUGGGGAUGGGCUCACGGCCUAUCAGCUUGUUGGUGGGGUGAUGGCCUACCAAGGCGUCGACGGGUAGCCGGCCUGAGAGGGUGACCGGCCACAUUGGGACUGAGAUACGGCCCAGG